GUGUUCGAUUAGGCAGCACAGAUACUAAAAUUGGGACCAUACAGAGAAGAUUAGCAUGGCCCCUGCACAAGGAUGACAUGAAGCUUUCUAUGUUUUU
rnacentral:snRNA from 1 species